CACCCCAUCAUCAUCAUCAUGAUAAUGGCUUCUCUCACUUUUUUUUUUAUAAACUUUCACAAAGGUUAAAAAAAAAUCUUCUUGGAUAAUGAAAGCCUCUCUGCUGUAAAGGAUUACAAGGCUGUAAAACAAUCAUGUGAAUACAACAGCAUUUUUACUGCUGAGGCAACGUGGUUCUGCAAACUGCUGAGUUCUUCUAAAAGUUUACAGCACUUAGCUGCAGAACAGGUUGAGAGAGCCUUGUCCCACUUGACUUGUUUUGAUAGCUCCUUCGUCUUCAUGAACAGGUGUAUGGGGCCGUCCAGGAACAGGUGUAUUACUAUUGAGAUCAUGUGGCACUUUAAUUGCACACAGGUAGACUCAACUAAUUAUGUGACUUGUGAUGGCACCUGGUUGCCCCAGAAAUAAUUUUGGGGUUUCACAGUAACAGGGACAGCAGCAUGAAAUUAUCCUGAAGAAUUUCCUCAUCCUGUCUUGAAAUCACUGCAAGGCCAGGAGAACAGGAGACUGAACCCUGCAGUCAGUGCAAUCGUUAGUGUCUGUUACAUUCACUUCAACCACAGCACAAAAUGGACUACAGCUGAAAUCCCUUCUACAACCACAUCCAUGUGUGGAACAUGGGGUCUCGCAGAAGCCUGUUGUGGGUCAUCCAGGAUCGUGUUCUCAAUAUCUUUUGGGCAACAUCUAUAACUAUCUAUAAAGAAUACAAUUAGUAGACAAUUAAUAAAUCUUUAUGCAGUUUACUGUGUAUUAGAAUAGAACCCUUUAUUUGUCACAUAUGUAUUACAGUAUAGUGAAUUUUUUUUUCCUGCAUAUCCUAGCAAUUUUCCAGCAGUUUAUCCCAGGGAUAUUUAUAAAUUUAAAAUUUAUAUCUUGAACUUACAUAUUUCUGUAAAGCUGCUUUGUGACAAUGUCCAUGGUUAAAAGCGCUAUACAAAUAAAAUUGAAUUGAAUUGUUAGGAAGCUUGGAUCAGAACACAGGGUAAAGCUUAUUGAUGUAAAGCAGACAGUAGCACCACUAGUACUUACUUCACAAAUGCAACCACGACUGCUCACAGAAUGGGGUGAUGUUGAUUAUGGCAUUGCAAUUAAAAAAGAAAAAAAAAUCUAUAUUUGUUUUUUUAUAUUUUAUUUAUUCACAUUAAGUUUAAAACAAUCAUCUUUACAAAAUUCAAAUUUAAAUUAUGGCAGAACAACAUACACUAUAUGGCCAAAAGUGUGUGGACCCCUGACCAUCACACCCAUAUGUGGUUCUUCCCCAAACUUUUGCUACAAAGUUGGAAGCACACAAUUGUGUAGAAUGUUUUUGGAUGCUGUAGCAUUAUAAUUUCCCUUCACUGGAACUAAGAGGCCCAAACCUGUUCCAGCAUGACAAUGCCCCUGUGCACAAACCGAGCUCUAUGAAGACAUGGUGUGUUAAGGGUGGAGUGGAAGAACUCGAGUGUCCUGCACAGAGCCCUGACUUCAACCCCACUGAACACAUUUGGGAUGAACUGGAACACCGACUGCACUCCAGACCUCUUCACCAACAUCAGUGCCUGAUCUCACUAAUGCUCUUGUAGCUGAAUGAGCACAAAUCCCCACAGCCACACUCCAAAAUCUAGUGGAAAGCCUUCCCAGAAGAGUGGAGGUUAUUAUACAGCAAAGGGAGACUGUUCACUAAAAAGUUCACAUUCAAUCCACCAUGGGCAUAAAAUAAUGGAAAUAAAUAAUGAAAUAAAAUGAAUCACAUCUGUCCUUGUUUGCUUUUCUGAAGUGUUCAGAUGUUUUAAUGGAUAAAUGUUGAAUCUGAAUUUGAUUCACUGAAUUUGAAAUGCAGCAUGGCCACCAAGUAUUACAUUUCUGAUUAUUUUAGAAUUUAAUUUAAAGUUUUAGAAUUCAUUUUUAAAGCUUUGCAUACAAAAUGAUAUACAAUUUUAAAAAAAACAAAAAUCUGAUUUCUUGUAAAUUCAUAAAUUAUAGUGGCAUAAUUAU